AAUGCACACGGUGAUGGGGUGCCACCAGAAUCGAAAGAUUCAAACCGCUUUUACAGCUGAUGACUCCUACAGAAAC
ncrna:Vibrio harveyi HY01 Fluoride riboswitch